rnacentral:lncRNA from 1 species
AACAAUCCUGCAUAAUUAUAUUUCUUAAACUCCACUAGGUACACAAUAUCAGAUGCCAUGACAUGGUGUAUGACAUUCUGAAACAAUCCUGCAUAAUUAUGUUUUCCAUUUAAACUCCAGCAGGUACACAGGAUAUCUUAUGUUAAGACAUCAUACACAACAUCUUGUGAACACUCUUUGUUUUACCAAAAUUGCUGUCAACACUUAGAACCAAC